rfam:Gossypium hirsutum cultivar TM-1 chromosome 20, whole genome shotgun sequence
UGUUAAAGAUUUCAUCCAUUUCUACUAUUAAAACCUAGCGUGGCUGAUGGGAUAACUGAACAAUUACACUACGUGCACCUCAAGCUACAAGGAAGACUAAUUUUUAACAUUAGAAAUGGAUGAAAAUUUUAAUA